UGAUGGCAACAGGACUGACUGU
rnacentral:piRNA from 1 species